UGGGGAAUUUUGGACAAUGGGGGAAACCCUGAUCCAGCCAUCCCGCGUGUGCGAUGAAGGCCUUCGGGUUGUAAAGCACUUUGGCAGGAAAGAAACGUCGCGGGUUAAUACCCCGCGGAACUGACGGUACCUGCAGAAUAAGCACCGGCUAACUACGUGCCAGCAGCCGCGGUAAUACGUAGGGUGCAAGCGUUAAUCGGAAUUACUGGGCGUAAAGCGUGCGCAGGCGGUUCGGAAAGAAAGAUGUGAAAUCCCAGAGCUUAACUUUGGAACUGCAUUUUUAACUACCGGGCUAGAGUGUGUCAGAGGGAGGUGGAAUUCCGCGUGUAGCAGUGAAAUGCGUAGAUAUGCGGAGGAACACCGAUGGCGAAGGCAGCCUCCUGGGAUAACACUGACGCUCAUGCACGAAAGCGUGGGGAGCAAACAGGAUUAGAUACCCUGGUAGUCCACGCCCUAAACGAUGUCAACUAGCUGUUGGGGUCUUCGGACCUUGGUAGCGCAGCUAACGCGUGAAGUUGACCGCCUGGGGAGUACGGUCGCAAGAUUAAAACUCAAAUGAAUUGAC
rnacentral:rRNA from 1 species